rnacentral:rRNA from 1 species
AGCGAACGCUGGCGGCAUGCCUAACACAUGCAAGUCGAACGAACCUUUCGGGGUUAGUGGCGGACGGGUGAGUAACACGUGGGAACGUGCCUUUAGGUUCGGAAUAACUCAGGGAAACUUGUGCUAAUACCGAAUGUGCCCUUCGGGGGAAAGAUUAAUCGCCUUUAGAGCGGCCCGCGUUUGAUUAGCUAGUUGGUUGAGGUAAUGGCUCACCAAGGCGACGAUCAGUAGCUGGUCUGAGAGGAUGAUCAGCCACAUUGGGACUGAGACACGGCCCAAACUCCUACGGGAGGCAGCAGUGGGGAAUCUUGCGCAAUGGGCGAAAGCCUGACGCAGCCAUGCCGCGUGAAUGAUGAAGGUCUUAGGAUUGUAAAAUUCUUUCACCGGGGACGAUAAUGACGGUACCCGGAGAAGAAGCCCCGGCUAACUUCGUG